AAGAGAAGAACACGCGGUUAGAGGAAGAAUCGUUCAAGUGUCGUAGAGCUUUCGAAGAAAAUGCAAGCCUGCAAAGAAAGGUUGAAAAGCUGAAAAGGGUUGAGUACCUAGGCUAUUCUGACGAGAUCUUAGUGGAGGAGGUGAAAAUGUACAAGGCCAAGCUCAACUGUCCAUGUUGUAACACGAGGCGGAAGGAUGCUGUGAUCACCAAAUGUUUUCAUGUCUUUUGUAUGGAAUGCCUGAAAACACGGUACGAUACACGACAGCGCAAGUGCCCAAAAUGCAAUGCGGCCUUUGGAAACAAUGACUUCCGCAAAAUAUACAUGUGAUUUUACGAGAAAAGGUGCGUGGUGCAACUGGAAAUAUUCUCACAGUAUAUCAGUUAAAAAAGGAGCAUUUUGGAAUAUCGAUCCUACCAAGGCGAACUUUGAUGUUGAGUCAAGAGACGAAGAAGGCUUUAGCGGACUCUUUUUUGUCCUAGUUUACACGGCCGCAUUUAAUGAAUUCAGCAAAGUCUUACUUAAAAAAAAUACGACCAUAUCACCGAUGCCAUAGUCAGAUUUUCGAAUUGUUUGUUUCAAAAGUCGACACUCUUUUAACUUUGUCAGUUUGUCUGACAAAAGUGUCUGAAAAUUUCUUGACAUUUUGAUUUUUAAAAAUUGUACAAGUUCUGAAAUGUUGAUUCUAAAAACUUUUGACUGUUUAUAGAUUUGACUUUUGGCAUUACAUAUUGAAGCAACAAACUGAUUUGGUACAUGGAGCGCGAUAGAUCUAUCCGGGUAAAUCUGGCUUAAAAAUGAAAUGCAAUGUUAGACAUUUUCAAUGAGCAAGAUAUACAGGAAUAAGUCCGCUUAUAGUAGUUCCAAACAUUCGAAAAAGCUAUUCGGGUGCUAUAUAUUUCAGCAAAGGCCAAAUUGACGGUACUUGCUAUGAAAAUUUGCUCGUUAAAUAUGUAAAGCUCGUCGAAAAAUGAUUGUUAUGAAAAUCUAUAGUGGUUCUAGUCAUCUGAUUUGGUGUACCAUAAAAACAUUACAUGUCGUUCUUUGGGCAGGAAUCUUUGGCGUUGUAAGCAUGAAAAUUUGCGCUAUUGAUGUAGGUUUCAUAUGUUGCAAAUGAUAUGGCAACAUCAUCGAUAAAAAAAUUCAAUUCACUUUUUUAGGAACGGAUUUUCGCAUUGUUAUGAAAAAUCCACUAGCCAAUAGCUACCAUUAUUUGUACAAUAUUUCUUUCUUCUUUUUCAUGCUUAUGUACACAGUGAUAUCUUAUGAUGAAGGGUAACCAAUAGAUGUA